rnacentral:rRNA from 1 species
GACGAACGCUGGCGGCGUGCUUAACACAUGCAAGUCGAACGAUGAACCCGGAGCUUGCUCCGGUGGGUUAGUGGCGAACGGGUGAGUAACACGUGAGUAACCUGCCCUUGACUCUGGGAUAACUGCGGGAAACUGUAGCUAAUACCGGAUACGACCCUCGGCGGCAUCGCCAGGGGGUGGAAAGAAUUUCGGUCAAGGAUGGACUCGCGGCCUAUCAGCUAGUUGGUGAGGUAACGGCUCACCAAGGCGACGACGGGUAGCCGGCCUGAGAGGGUGACCGGCCACACUGGGACUGAGACACGGCCCAGACUCCUACGGGAGGCAGCAGUGGGGAAUAUUGCACAAUGGGCGCAAGCCUGAUGCAGCAACGCCGCGUGAGGGAUGACGGCCUUCGGGUUGUAAACCUCUUUUAGUAGGGAAGAAGCGAAAGCGACGGUACCUGCAGAAAAAGCACCGGCUAACUACGUGCCAGCAGCCGCCGUAA